GCACCCAUUCACUGCAGAGCAUCCAUUGAUGAGACAUUUUCAUUUUUGGCUGAAUUCUUUUAAUAUGAUUUCCAUUCUAUUAGUCAUUAAAAAAAAAUGUAUAAAAACCUUUAACUACCAAAAAAAGCACUUUCUUAAUGACAUCAUCCUGCAGGAAGUGACAUCAUUUACUGGCGGGAAACCAGCAGCACAAACAUCAGAAGCGGAAGUUCAUCACUCAGCGCCGCGACUACGCAGUACAGCAGCGCCAAGCGUGAUCUGGCCCUGAGUCAGUUUUGUAACAAGUGUGUGCUGGCGGGUCGUUUUGAGUUCUGU